UGCACAGACUAGUCUCUGAGGGACACGGGA
rnacentral:piRNA from 1 species